ensembl:lncRNA
CGUUUUUGGUGACGAAAAAACACAACUAUCUGCGCCCUCCCGCCGCGGACACGAGCAGCAGGCUGGGUUGAGUCUCCAUGGUUCUCAUGAUGCGUUUAGGUUCCUGUUUCUUUCGGAAAUUCCAAUUUGGCUGUGUAAUUAUAUUAUUGGCAUUAUUACUAUUAGUUAUUUUUAGUCAGUCGGGUGACAACACGAUGACAGGGGGAGCUUCACAAGCGCCCAGUGACUCUGCCGCCCAGGCCAAAGCUUCAGGGAAGAAGAAGAAAGGAGGAUCCGUUGUGUACAGAGCUGUGGCCGCCUCCCAGGACCGCAAAGGUCUUUUCUACUACGCCAUAAAGCAGGCGCUGACCUUCCAGGGCUACGAUGUGGAUCAGCACGGCUUCCUCAUCAAACGCGCCAUUAAUAUGCUGGUAAAAAGCCCAAGUAGGUGUUAAGGGAAACUGCACUGGAAGAAGUGCCCUCCGCUAAGCCAAGUAGGCCGCUGGUUCCUCUGAAUCAGCGUCCAAGAAGAAAGCGUUAGCUCGGAGAAGAUGCUUAAGAAGCUCAAAACGCUCUUUUAAGAGCCACCAAACUGUACACUACAGGGCUGAUUUCAUUUUCAAAUGAAGAAUGAAUAAAAUUAAUACACACAUCACCCCUUCAGACCUCAUCAACUUAAUAUAAAUGGCUGUUUUGCUUCCAGAUACCAAGUGAUUUAAGACAAAGAGGUCAGCAGCAAACAGACAGAGCACAGUCUGCAGGAUCCAGCUUUCUGUCUAUAAAAAGUGAUCACUCCAGACAUUCUCCCCCAGUUUUCAGGUAUAUAUUUGGAUCCUCGGACACGAGAGAUACGAAGAGGAGUAAUGUUUGUCUGGACAGCAGGUGGCCUUUGUUUUAGGAUGUCUUAAAGGAUCCGGUCUCUGCCAGUGCAUCUCCUCAUACAGUGCACUUCAUCAGGAGACUUAGAGUAGCUGUGUUGUGGCUGCCAUCAGCAGCUGUUAUUGAGUUUAAGGUAAUUUCAUGGUUUUAAGUUACAAUAAAUACAUUAAAAAUAUUUUAUUUUUAAUAAAUCAAUUAUAAUGUAUACAUUGUUGGUCUUAAAAAAAAACCCAUUUAAAGGUUCUACAAAAUGUUUCCAGGGUGGAACCAAUGUUCAGUCUGUUGUUCAGGGUUGAUGAUAAUUCCAGUUACACGCCACACUCGGUAGAGGGCAGCAGCAUGCUUUCCUUUCUCAAUAGGUGGUACAGAUUUGGAGAAGGAUGCAGUGAAGUUUUUCAGCUGUGGGUACAGAGUGUGCGCUGCAAGAUAUGUUUUCGUUAACCCCUUCAAGUUAAAAAUAAGAUGCUUAUGUGUCACAGAACUGUUGACUUUAUGUUAGUCACGUGUAAUACAGAAUGUGUCAACAUUUUGUAAAGGUCAAAUUGUGAAUGUUUUUGUAUUGUUGAAUAAUAUACUUUAUUGUUUACUGUCUAUGAGAACGACUUACUUUGAAAAUUGAUUAUUUUAUGUUGUUUGUACAGUUCUCACAGCAUUGGUUGUGGCACCUGUGUCCAAUACAUGCCAGUAAAAAUAAAGAACGCCUCAUGUCCGUUUUUCAACUUGGAGGGAGUUACAUGUGUGGAAAGUAAGACUAAAGAUCUGAUUAAAUAAUUUCUGAAAACUGGA